rnacentral:rRNA from 1 species
CCUACGGGUGGCUGCAGUAAGGAAUAUUGGUCAAUGGACGCAAGUCUGAACCAGCCAUGCCGCGUGCAGGAUGACUGCCCUAUGGGUUGUAAACUGCUUUUGUAUGGGAAAAAACCCUCGUACGUGUACGAGGCUGAUGGUACCAUAAGAAUAAGGAUCGGCUAACUCCGUGCCAGCAGCCGCGGUAAUACGGAGGAUCCAAGCGUUAUCGGGAUUUAUGGGGUUGAAGGGGGACGUAGACGUCAGUGGAGAAAGCCUGCAGCUUAACUGCAGAACUGCCAUCGAUACUGCUAAUCUUGAGUACAGCUGGAGUGGGCGGAAUGUGUCGUGUAGCGGUGAAAUGCUUAGAUAUGACACAGAACACCGAUCGUGAAGACAGCUCACUAAACUGUAACUGACGCUGAGGCACGAAAGCGUGGGGAUCAAACAGGAUUAGAUACCCCGGUAGUC